rnacentral:tRNA from 1 species
GAGCAUAGCUCAGCUGGUUAGAGCACCUGCCUUACAAGCAGGGGGUCACAGGUUCGAGUCCUGUUGCCCCC